UAAUUUCUGGAAUAUACGCUAGGCUCUAUAUUUUGAACCUACAUCAUAAUUACGGGAGUUCAAUAUUUAGAUAUGAAUUUGACCUAUAAGAACCAAAACAUUGGCAAGGACAAGAAGUAUCUGUGAGGACACCCACCUAUCAGAAGAUAGGGUGUCAAAAUUGGGGCUACGGUAUUUUGGAUUAUAA
rnacentral:other from 1 species